GUUUUGAGUCUUGUUAAUAAUUUUAGGUUAGAUAUUUUUAAAUGAAAAAUAAUUUUUAAUUAUAGUUAAGUAAUUUUUAAUGAAUUUUUUUAUAACUAUAGAAAAUAAGUACUGUAAAGGAAAGAUUAUAAUUAAAAAAAGUAAAAGUAUAGAUGAAAAUUUAGUACCUUGUGUAUCAGGGAUGAUUAAUAUAAUUAAAGUAAUAUUUAAAUCUCGAAAUAAAAAUAGCUAAUUUUAUAAUAAAGUUUUUGUUGGAUAUAAAUUUUAAAUAUAGAAUUAAAGAUGAAAUGUUAGACGAGUUUUAUUAUAUCUAGUUUUUUAAAAGGAAAAUUUAAUUUAAUUUUUAUAUUAAUUAUAAUAUAAAUAGAUAAAAUAAAAAGGGUAAGCUUUUUAUUAUAGAAGGUGAAAUAGUUAAUAUAUGAGAAUAAUCUAAGAUCUAAGCUUAAAAAUAGCUAUGUUAAUAAAGUGUUUUAAUUAAUUUUGAGAGGAAAAAAUUGUAUUGAACUUUUCUUUUAUAUUAAAAAUUUAUUUGAAAUAAGGAAUAAUAAGGUAAAAUGAUUUUAUUAGUAUAAGUUUAUUGUAAGAAUAUAAGGAUAGAAUAUUUAUUUAAAAAUUAUUAAAAACAAUAAUAAAUUAAAGGAAUUCGGCAAAAGUUUUCUUGCCUGUUUAUCAAAAACAUGUCUAUUUGGAGAUAUAAAAAGUCUGGCCUGCCCACUGAUUAAAGUCAAUAAUUUAAGGGCCGCGGUAUUAUGACCGUGCAAAGGUAGCAUAAUCAUUAGGUUUUUAAAUGAGAUCUUGUAUGAAUGGUUUGACAAAGGAAAAACUGUCUUUAAGUUAAUAUUUGAAUUUAACUUUUAAGUGAGAAGGCUUAAAUAUCUUAGGGGGACGAUAAGACCCUAUAAAGCUUUAUAUUAUAGUUGUAUUUAAUUGAAUUUAUAUAUAAAAAUUUUAUAUAAUUAUUUAUUUUGUUGGGGAGACAUAAGUAAAAAUUAUAUUAACUGCUUAAAAAAUAUACAUAUAUUAGUGAAGAGAGAAUUAUAGAUCCUAUUUAUAGAUUUAAAGAUUAAGUUACUUUAGGGAUAACAGUGUAAUUCUUUUUGAGAGUUCUUAUCGAAAAGAGAGUUUGCAACCUCGAUGUUGAAUUAAAAUACCUAUAUAAUGCAGUUGUUAUAUAAGGCGGUCUGUUCGACCUUUAAUUUUUU
rnacentral:rRNA from 1 species